UGUUUGCUUAUCUUAGAAAAUUGAUUUUUGUUCUUUUUACUACUAAAGCCUUACUUCUCUCUUCUGUGAUUAAAGUGGUGACCAACUUGGAAGGGCAGUUCAUAUGUCAAGUUGGGAGUUCUAAGGAAGGAUUGUUUAAUGGCCAAUUUGAUGCUGCCCUAUUUGACCACCCUCAGGGGAAGAAACAACUAUUAUUUCCAUGCAAUAAUAAUAGCUCUUACAAAAACAUGCUAUGAGCUCUUAACGUUUGAGAUAACUUGGCAAUAGUAGUCAUCCAUAUGCAAUUGCUGCUAAAUUGAAUGAGUGUGUUGUGUGUUGUCAUGUCCUGAGUCUGCAUGCUCUGAAGUUAUGAACUAAUGUUCCUUUUCUUAUGCCUAUCUUUCUUGAGACAAAAUUAUUUAAAUCUUCAUGAUCUGAACUUUCUCUUGUCAUGCAUGUAAAGUCAUACAACUAUUCCUUGCCACCUAUUACAGGGUCUUGCUUACAAUUCCAAAAGGAAUAUCUUGUAUGUUGCAGAUACGGAGAACCACGCGUUGCGAUAACUACCUCCACUGAGUUCAAUUGGAUCAGUCGGUUUCUAUUAACUUCUAAAAUGACUUAGAAAUGGCUUGUGUUAUUGUGCACUUUGAUUCACUAUUUUGUUUGGAAUGUCUUUUUGUGAUAUUUCAGUCUGUGGUCCAAACACCUUUACUUUUUGAAAAAUGUCGCCUUCUGUCGUUGCCUCAAAUUCCAUACGUUCGACAUCUAUGAAUAGAAAAUUUUGACACUAUAUCUUUGAACAAUUGAUCUCUCAGGAAUAUAUGAGGCCUUGGAGUUGAGGGAUGGAGGAUCUGAUUAUCUUGGCAAGGGUGUUCUUAAGCUUUUGGCUUAACAUUUGAGAGGAGAAGGCGGUCACGAUCACGUGGGUGAAGGCGAGGCAGAUCUUCAUCAGCCGCGGCAACCCCACCGUCGAGGUGGACGUGGGCCUCAGCGAUGGCAGCUACGCGAGGGGGGCCGUACCCAGCGGCGUAUCCACUGUUGAAACCAAGAGUUGUCUCUCCCAAGGACGCAUUUCAUCACCAUCACUAAGCAACGCACGAGCACAUCACCAGGGUAUAAGUUUUUUUUUGCUAUUCUACCUUUUUUUCUCUCUUACCCUGUUUGUUUUCUGAAAUUCGUCAGUUGGUUAGUUUUUAGCUUCCUGAAAGGCUGAA